CCUACGGGUGGCAGCAGUGAGGAAUAUUGGUCAAUGGGCGGGAGCCUGAACCAGCCAAGUCGCGUGAGGGAAGACGGUCCUACGGAUUGUAAACCUCUUUUGCCGGGGAGCAACGGGGUCCUUGCGAGGGCCCAAUGAGAGUACCCGGAGAAAAAGCAUCGGCUAACUCCGUGCCAGCAGCCGCGGUAAUACGGAGGAUGCGAGCGUUAUCCGGAUUUAUUGGGUUUAAAGGGUGCGUAGGCGGGCUGUUAAGUCAGCGGUCAAAUGUCGGGGCUCAACCCCGGCCUGCCGUUGAAACUGGCGGCCUCGAGUGGGCGAGAAGUAUGCGGAAUGCGUGGUGUAGCGGUGAAAUGCGUAGAUAUCAGGAGGAACACCGGUGGCGAAGGCGGCCUGCUGGACUGCAACUGACGUUGAGGCCCGAAAGCGUGGGGAGCAAACAGGAUUAGAUACCCCUGUAGUC
rnacentral:rRNA from 1 species